UGCAGUCGAGCGAACGGACGAGAAGCUUGCUUCUCUGAUGUUAGCGGCGGACGGGUGAGUAACACGUGGAUAACCUACCUAUAAGACUGGGAUAACUUCGGGAAACCGGAGCUAAUACCGGAUAAUAUUUUGAACCGCAUGGUUCAAAAGUGAAAGACGGUCUUGCUGUCACUUAUAGAUGGAUCCGCGCUGCAUUAGCUAGUUGGUAAGGUAACGGCUUACCAAGGCAACGAUGCAUAGCCGACCUGAGAGGGUGAUCGGCCACACUGGAACUGAGACACGGUCCAGACUCCUACGGGAGGCAGCAGUAGGGAAUCUUCCGCAAUGGGCGAAAGCCUGACGGAGCAACGCCGCGUGAGUGAUGAAGGUCUUCGGAUCGUAAAACUCUGUUAUUAGGGAAGAACAUAUGUGUAAGUAACUGUGCACAUCUUGACGGUACCUAAUCAGAAAGCCACGGCUAACUACGUGCCAGCAGCCGCGGUAAUACGUAGGUGGCAAGCGUUAUCCGGAAUUAUUGGGCGUAAAGCGCGCGUAGGCGGUUUUUUAAGUCUGAUGUGAAAGCCCACGGCUCAACCGUGGAGGGUCAUUGGAAACUGGAAAACUUGAGUGCAGAAGAGGAAAGUGGAAUUCCAUGUGUAGCGGUGAAAUGCGCAGAGAUAUGGAGGAACACCAGUGGCGAAGGCGACUUUCUGGUCUGUAACUGACGCUGAUGUGCGAAAGCGUGGGGAUCAAACAGGAUUAGAUACCCUGGUAGUCCACGCCGUAAACGAUGAGUGCUAAGUGUUAGGGGGUUUCCGCCCCUUAGUGCUGCAGCUAACGCAUUAAGCACUCCGCCUGGGGAGUACGACCGCAAGGUUGAAACUCAAAGGAAUUGACGGGGACCCGCACAAGCGGUGGAGCAUGUGGUUUAAUUCGAAGCAACGCGAAGAACCUUACCAAAUCUUGACAUCCUUUGACAACUCUAGAGAUAGAGCCUUCCCCUUCGGGGGACAAAGUGACAGGUGGUGCAUGGUUGUCGUCAGCUCGUGUC
rnacentral:rRNA from 2 species